CAUCCAGCAAUAGUGAGCUCCCAGCCAAACUUCAGCCAUGAAGUUUCUCUACCUGCUCUUUGCUCUCUUUUUCCUGGUGCUCCAAAGCUCUCCAGGAUUCACCCAGAUCAUCAAUAGCUCCUCUGCUUGUAGACGUGCUCGGGGAAUCUGCAGCCGUUUCUGUUUAGGCAAUUUCAGACAAAUUGGAGGGUGCUAUCGUUUUUGGAGUUGCUGUCGCAUUAAUUGAGGAGGGUGAGUGAUGGCAGCAGAGAUGGUCAAUGCAGGAUCUCUGGGAAUCUGGCAGACAACGCCUUGCUUCUAAAAUCCUUGGACGCUUU